UCCCUGGUGGCUCAGAGGGUAAAGCAUCUGCCUGUGAUGCAGGAGACCCAGGUUCAACCCCCUGGAGAAGGAA
rnacentral:tRNA from 1 species